UGUAAAACAUUGAAGAGAUAAGUAGAUUAUAAUUGAUUCAAAACAGAGAGCUUUCGGUGGGUGUGAGAAAGUAAGAAGAAAUGUAAUUGAAAAUGGUCUCGGAGUAAUAAUUAUCUAAUAGGUAAUUACGUCAGUGCACGAUAUAGUACAGCGGUAUGAACACGUACCGAUUAAGGUGGAUAUUUAUAUCCAUAAACAUGGGUGGUAACACGAUAAACUCGUCCCUAUU
rnacentral:ncRNA from 1 species